AUUGAACGCUGGCGGCAGGCUUAACACAUGCAAGUCGAGCGAGCGGCGGACGGGUGAGUAAUGUCUGGGAAACUGCCUGAUGGAGGGGGAUAACUACUGGAAAAGGUAGCUAAUACCGCAUACCAUCAGAUGUGCCCAGAUGGGAUUAGCUAGUGGGUGGGGUACUGGCUCACCUAGGCGACGAUCCCUAGCUGGUCUGAGAGGAGGACCAGCCACACUGGAACUGAGACACGGUCCAGACGCGUACGGGAGGCAGCAGUGGGGAAUAUUGCACAAUGGGCGAAAGCCUGAUGCAGCAAUGCCGCGUGUGUGAAGAAGGCCUUCGGGUUGUAAAGCACUUUCAGCGAGGAGGCGUUACUCGCAGAAGAAGCACCGGCUAACUCCGUGCCAGCAGCCGCGGUAAUUC
rnacentral:rRNA from 1 species